UACGAAGGGGGCUAGCGUUGCUCGGAAUUACUGGGCGUAAAGAGCGCGCAGGCGGUCGAUUUAGUCGCGUGUGAAAGCCCCCGGCUCAACUGGGGAGGGUCACGCGAUACUGAUCGACUCGAAGGCAGGAGAGGGUAGUGGAAUUCCCGGUGUAGUGGUGAAAUGCGUAGAUAUCGGAAGGAACACCUGUGGCGAAAGCGGCUCACUGGACCACAACUGACGCUGAGGCACGAAAGCUAGGGGAGCAAACAGG
rnacentral:rRNA from 1 species